GAUUUCCUUACCGUUUUUCCGCCUCGGGUUGGCUUGUUUUCGCCUCUUACACCUGGGGCCAUCCGCCAUGAUCUCCUGCUUCAUUGAUAGAACACAGAGGAGGAAGAAGGAGAAGCCCCCUGAAACGCACGCCACCUAUCUUCACGGGAGGGGAUAAUUGAGGAGAGUCAAACGGAACCGAGUCGGGCUCCGACGCGGCGCAGUAGAAAACAUGCGGCUGUUUUCUCUUGAUUUCGCAGGGAAACGCGCGCAGAAGCAGAGGAGCGGGGACGGGAAUCAUAAAGAGGACGAAGAGGAGGAGGAGGAGGAGGAGGAGGAGGAGGAGGAGAGUCUUUUACUGGUCGCGGAUCCAGUCCUGGCUGAACUAUCGUCAUGCGUAAUUUACUGCCACAGCGCGCACAUGUAAACCAGACACACACACACACACACACACACACACACACACACACACACACGGAGUGGCCUCCUCUGUGGGGCCACAUAUUCAGCGUGAAAACGGAUUACAGUCGCUGUGUGACCUAUAGGGGGACCUUGUGCUUAAUGAAUAUAUGGCUUUAAAUAAGUGGGGAGGGGGCAUUUGUUGACUUUGGUUGUUAAUAACCUUAAAUAAAACCCGCCUUUUCCUUUAUUUCUGAAAAAAAACAACUAUGGUUUCCUUUUCCUCUGAAUAAAUUCUUAAUCUGUAACAAAAUGUCUUUUUUUUACUUUGACUCUGAUGUGAAUCUCGUUGUGCAGCACGUUGUGUGUCUGCGUGCUUCUUCCCUCUGCAGCGUUGAGUCUCGGAGGCGGCGCUGCACAGAGGCUGCGCCGAUGCCUCUCCGUCUUUCCUGCCGGAGCCGCGAAAGCCGAGAAAUCCAAAACAAGACGCGGCUUCCGAGAUCUGAACCCUACGGGGAGGUCAGAGGAAUCGUGGGAGCCGCCUCGGACACAUGUAACUUAUCUCUUGCUUCGGUUUUACCUUUUAAAAAAGAAAAAGCCAUUCGGCUGCGGUGAGUGGAGGGGGUCCCAGGAGGAGAGGGAUGCCGAUGCACGCCGACGCCUCUGGACCCGAGCACGGCCAGAACGUACACGCCGUGCAUUCAGCUGCCAGGCGUCCUCGAUUAUUGGCCUAAUUUAGAUCUGCGAGAGUCAAGUGGCGAUGCAGAGCUUCACCGUGCUGCGUCCCUCCAUCCUCCCUGGAAGAAAACCAGACAGCUUACCUACACCUGAGAGGAGGAGAACUCCCGGGGCGAGACUUUGGCACCGAACUCUGCAACCUGAGCAGCACAGAGGAUCAUUCACACAAAAAAAUAAAGAGAAAAGUAGCAGACGUUUCAGACGCAGAACCCCGUCACGACCAGACACAUGAAGGUUUACCCCCAGGAGAGGAAGAACAGGGGCAACGAGCAGCGGGCGACGCUGACGCGUUUCGCUCCAGGCUGCCAGAAGCGGUGAAACACAUCCGUGCCAGCGGUUCGCUCUCCUACGAGAGGCACAAACAAAUCUGAUCCUUUCCCACUGAUUCAGCUUCUCCUGACAUGAGUCUGGGUGCUGUGGGCAAAGAGGACUUGCAGGUAAAUUUGUUGUUGUUUUUCUUUCUUAACCAGGGUUCGAGUGAAACGGCUGGAAAAAUAAAAUAAGAAAGGCACGGAAGCGGCUCAGCUCCCAGUCACAAGCAUAAUCUCUUACCUUAAACAGCUGACAGACAGGAACGCGGGA